GAACAAAGGGUUACCUCACUCUCUUCACCACAAAGCCUGACUCCUAGGGCGGUGGCUGGCUCUCUGUACUCCCAAGUACAGUCCUUGCAUGGUCCUGCCUGGCUUGCGGCGUCCUCCUCCUCUUCUCUAGUGCAUGGCUAGGACCUCCAAAGCUAUGUUGAAUAAUAUUGGAAAGCAUCGACAGUCUCGUCUGGUUCCUGAUCUUAGAGGAAAUGCUUUCAGUUUUUUUAUCAUUGAGAAUGACGUGUGCUAUGGGCUUGUCGUAUAUAGCCUUUCUUACAUUAAGGAUUCCAUCUAGAAUAAUAGCUCUUUAGAGUAUGCUGCUACUGCUGCUGCUAAGUCACUUCAGUCGUGUCCGACUCUGUGCAACCCCAUAGACGGCAGCCCACCAGGCUCCCCCGUCCCUGGGAUUCUCC